AUUGAACGCUGGCGGCAGGCCUAACACAUGCAAGUCGAACGGUAACAGGAAGCAGCUUGCUGCUUCGCUGACGAGUGGCGGACGGGUGAGUAAUGUCUGGGAAACUGCCUGAUGGAGGGGGAUAACUACUGGAAACGGUAGCUAAUACCGCAUAACGUCGCAAGACCAAAGAGGGGGACCUUCGGGCCUCUUGCCAUCGGAUGUGCCCAGAUGGGAUUAGCUAGUAGGUGGGGUAACGGCUCACCUAGGCGACGAUCCCUAGCUGGUCUGAGAGGAUGACCAGCCACACUGGAACUGAGACACGGUCCAGACUCCUACGGGAGGCAGCAGUGGGGAAUAUUGCACAAUGGGCGCAAGCCUGAUGCAGCCAUGCCGCGUGUAUGAAGAAGGCCUUCGGGUUGUAAAGUACUUUCAGCGGGGAGGAAGGCGAUAAGGUUAAUAACCUUGUCGAUUGACGUUACCCGCAGAAGAAGC
rnacentral:rRNA from 1 species